AGUGAACGCUGGCGGUAGGCCUAACACAUGCCAGUCGAACGGCAGCACAGUAAGAGCUUGCUCUUACGGGUGGCGAGUGGCGGACGGGUGAGGAAUACAUCGGAAUCUACUUUUUCGUGGGGGAUAACGUAGGGAAACUUACGCUAAUACCGCAUACGACCUACGGGUGAAAGCAGGGGAUCUUCGGACCUUGCGCGAUUGAAUGAGCCGAUGUCGGAUUAGAUAGUUGGCGGGGUAAAGGCCCACCAAGGCGACGAUCCGUAGCUGGUCUGAGAGGAUGAUCAGCCACACUGGAACUGAGACACGGUCCAGACUCCUACGGGAGGCAGCAGUGGGGAAUAUUGGACAAUGGGCGCAAGCCUGAUCCAGCCAUACCGCGUGGGUGAAGAAGGCCUUCGGGUUGUAAAGCCCUUUUGUUGGGAAAGAAAAGCAGCAGGUUAAUACCCCGCUGUUCUGACGGUACCCAAAGAAUAAGCACCGGCUAACUUCGUG
rnacentral:rRNA from 1 species